UACGUAGGGUGCAAGCGUUGUCCGGAAUUAUUGGGCGUAAAGAGCUCGUAGGCGGUUUGUCGCGUCUGCUGUGAAAACUCAGGGCUUAACCCUGAGCCUGCAGUGGGUACGGGCAGACUAGAGUGUGGUAGGGGGAGAUCGGAAUUCCUGGUGUAGCGGUGGAAAUGCGCAGAUAUCGAGGAGACACCGGUGGCGAAAGGCGGACUCUGGGCCAUAACUGACGCUGAGGAGCGAAAGCUGGGGAGCAACAGG
rnacentral:rRNA from 1 species